rnacentral:sRNA from 1 species
CCUUUGUUUUGUUAACAGCUUUGUAAUAUUUUCUGUCCAGGUUCUGUGAGAAUAAACAUGACAAUAUUUUGAAAGCUUUUCAUAUCCCCAGAAGGAAGAAAUGACAAAGAGGCAAGCCAUUAUAAUGAAUGCUUAUGAUCUUUAUUUAGGAACAUGACAGUCUCAAGCCCUCUGUCACUUCUAAGUCUUGAUGAUUUGUCUCAUUUGCCCAGACCCCUCACCAGUCCACAAAGAUGGGCAGAAUGAGGCCGACAGUGCACCAGAAGACCUCCAGUCUGUGGGGACCAGCAGGCUGCUCUAUCACAUCACUGAUGGUGAUAACCCACUGCUGUCGCCACGAUGCUCCAUCUUCAGCCAAAGCCAGAGAUUCAACUUAGACCCCGAGUCAGCCCCAUCUCCACCCAGCACUCAGCAGUUUAUGAUGCCGCGGAGUUCUUCACGCUGCAGCUGUGGAGAUGGCAAGGAGCCACAGACCAUCACCCAGCUCACCAAGCACAUCCAGAGCCUCAAGCGGAAAAUUCGG